GAUGAACGCUAGCGGCAGGCCUAAUACAUGCAAGUCGAGGGGCAGCAGGAAUAGCAAUAUUUGCUGGCGACCGGCGCACGGGUGCGUAACACGUAUACAAUCUGCCUUCUACAGGGGGAUAGCCUUUCGAAAGAGAGAUUAAUACCCCAUAAUAAAUUGAAUAGCAUUAUUUGAUUUUGAAAGAUCCGUCGGUAGAAGAUGAGUAUGCGGGUGAUUAGCUAGUUGGUGCGGUAACGGCUCACCAAGGCAACGAUCACUAGGGGAUCUGAGAGGACUACCCCCCACACUGGUACUGAGACACGGACCAGACUCCUACGGGAGGCAGCAGUAAGGAAUAUUGGACAAUGGAGGCAACUCUGAUCCAGCCAUGCCGCGUGCAGGAUGAAGGCCCUAUGGGUCGUAAACUGCUUUUGUACGAGAGAAAACCUAUUUACGUGUAGAUAGUUGAUAGUAUCGUAAGAAUAAGGAUCGGCUAACUUCGUGCCAGCCGCCGCAGUAAGAC
rnacentral:rRNA from 1 species